AGAGUUUGAUCCUGGCUCAGGAUGAACGCUGGCGGCGUGCCUAACACAUGCAAGUCGAGCGAUUCACUUCGGUGAAGAGCGGCGGACGGGUGAGUAACGCGUGGGUAACCUGCCUCAUACACAUGGAUAACAUACCGAAAGGUAUGCUAAUACAAGAUGAUAUAAGAGAUUCGCAUGGAUUUCUUAUCAAAGCUCCGGCGGUAUGAGAUGGACCCGCGUCUGAUUAGCUAGUUGGUAAGGUAACGGCUUACCAAGGCGACGAUCAGUAGCCGACCUGAGAGGGUGAUCGGCCACAUUGGAACUGAGACACGGUCCAAACUCCUACGGGAGGCAGCAGUGGGGAAUAUUGCACAAUGGGCGAAAGCCUGAUGCAGCAACGCCGCGUGAGCGAUGAAGGCCUUCGGGUCGUAAAGCUCUGUCCUCAAGGAAGAUAAUGACGGUACUUGAGGAGGAAGCCCCGGCUAACUACGUGCCAGCAGCCGCGGUAAUACGUAGGGGGCUAGCGUUAUCCGGAUUUACUGGGCGUAAAGGGUGCGUAGGUGGUUUCUUAAGUCAGGAGUGAAAGGCUACGGCUUAACCGUAGUAAGCUCUUGAAACUGGGAAACUUGAGUGCAGGAGAGGAAAGUGGAAUUCCUAGUGUAGCGGUGAAAUGCGUAGAUAUUAGGAGGAACACCAGUAGCGAAGGCGGCUUUCUGGACUGUAACUGACACUGAGGCACGAAAGCGUGGGGAGCAAACAGGAUUAGAUACCCUGGUAGUCCACGCCGUAAACGAUGAGUACUAGGUGUCGGGGGUUACCCCCCUCGGUGCCGCAGCUAACGCAUUAAGUACUCCGCCUGGGGAGUACGCUCGCAAGAGUGAAACUUAAAGGAAUUGAUGG
rnacentral:rRNA from 1 species